rnacentral:tRNA from 1 species
UCUCGAUUGGUCUAGUGGUUAGGAUACCUGCUUGUCAUGUACAGAUCGCAGGUGGCCGGGGUUCGAUUCCCCGAUCGAGAG